rnacentral:rRNA from 1 species
UUGCAAGGUGCUGCAUGGUUGUCGUCAGCUCGUGCCGUGAGGUGUCAGGUUAAGUCCUAUAACGAGCGCAACUCCUGUGGUUAGUUACCAGCAUGUAAUGAUGGGGACUCUAGCCAGACUGCCGGUGCAAACCGUGAGGAAGGUGGGGAUGACGUCAAAUCAUCACGGCCCUUACGCCUUGGGCUACACACGUGCUACAAUGGUAUAUACAAUGAGCAGCCAUCUGGCGACAGAGCGCUAAUCUAUAAAGUAUAUCACAGUUCGAAUCGGAGUCUGCAACUCGACUCUGUGAAGCUGGAAUCGCUAGUAAUCGCACAUCAGCCAUGGUGCGGUGAAUACGUUCCCGGGCCUUGUACACACCGCCCGU